rnacentral:tRNA from 1 species
UCCUAAGUAGCUCAGUGGUAGAGAGAUCGGUUGUUAACUGACUGGUCGUAGGUUCAAAUCCUACUUGGGGAG